CAAAUCUAAUUAGCCACACCUCCUGAUUACUUUAGAGAUUUGAGGUAACAUAGUUUGUGGUAGUUUUUCUUUAUAAUUAUUAUCUUUUCAAUCAGUUAUUGAUCUUAUAUUGUCUUUUAGGUACUUUAUAGUCUGUGUAUUAGCGUAUCAGUACCGUAUAUACUCGUAUUGAAUCAGUUGGCAUGGUAUUGGAUGAUGUCAGUAGAGGGAGGAUCACGUGAUAGGUCACAUGACUUGAUAUCAACUGCCAUUCCUCGUGUGAACGGGUGGGAGUGUCCCUGGCACCCACUUAACUUCAAGUAUUAUCCUGGGGUGUUGUCCUAUUCUUGAGUCUAAUGCAUUAUGGGUUCAUUGUGUUCUAUUUCCCCUCAUACUGGAGGAUAAUGGGCUACACUGUAUCCUUUAUUAAUUAGGGGGUGGGGCUUAGCAAUGGGUGGAGCUUCACUAGUAAUAUUAUUACUUUGAAGCAUCAAUGUAGUCUAGUUUUAAGAGAUUGUACUGAUUUUAAUUAAUAAUUAAUGGAAUUAAAAAUAUACUA